AUGAACGCUGGCGGCGUGCCUAAUACAUGCAAGUCGAGCGAACAGACGAGGAGCUUGCUCCUCUGACGUUAGCGGCGGACGGGUGAGUAACACGUGGAUAACCUACCUAUAAGACUGGGAUAACUUCGGGAAACCGGAGCUAAUACCGGAUAAUAUAUUGAACCGCAUGGUUCAAUAGUGAAAGACGGUUUUGCUGUCACUUAUAGAUGGAUCCGCGCCGCAUUAGCUAGUUGGUAAGGUAACGGCUUACCAAGGCAACGAUGCGUAGCCGACCUGAGAGGGUGAUCGGCCACACUGGAACUGAGACACGGUCCAGACUCCUACGGGAGGCAGCAGUAGGUAAUCUUCCGCAAUGGGCGAAAGCCUGACGGAGCAACGCCGCGUGAGUGAUGAAGGUCUUCGGAUCGUAAAACUCUGUUAUUAGGGAAGAACAAAUGUGUAAGUAACUAUGCACGUCUUGACGGUACCUAAUCAGAAAGCCACGGCUAACUACGUG
rnacentral:rRNA from 1 species